AACGAACGCUGGCGGCAGGCUUAACACAUGCAAGUCGAACGGUUGUAGCAAUACAGCAGUGGCAGACGGGUGAGUAACACGUGGGUGAUCUGCCCUGCACUUCGGGAUAAGCCUGGGAAACUGGGUCUAAUACCGGAUAGGACCACUGCCUGCAUGGGUGGUGGUGGAAAGCUUUUGCGGUGUGGGAUGGGCCCGCGGCCUAUCAGCUUGUUGGUGGGGUGAUGGCCUACCAAGGCGACGACGGGUAGCCGGCCUGAGAGGGUGACCGGCCACACUGGGACUGAGAUACGGCCCAGACUCCUACGGGAGGCAGCAGUGGGGAAUAUUGCACAAUGGGCGCAAGCCUGAUGCAGCGACGCCGCGUGAGGGAUGACGGCCUUCGGGUUGUAACCUCUUUCAGCACCGACGAAGCGCAAGUGACGGUAGGUGCAGAAGAAGGACCGGCCAACUACGUGCCAGCAGCCGCGGUAA
rnacentral:rRNA from 1 species